rnacentral:rRNA from 1 species
GACGAACGCUGGCGGCGUGCUUAACACAUGCAAGUCGAACGGAAAGGCCCUGCUUUUGUGGGGUGCUCGAGUGGCGAACGGGUGAGUAACACGGGAGUAACCUGCCCUUGACUUUGGGAUAACUUCAGGAAACUGGGGCUAAUACCGGAUAGGAGCUCCUGCUGCAUGGUGGGGGUUGGACAGUUUCGGAGGAUGGGGAUGGACUCGCGGCUUAUCAGCUUGUUGGUGGGGUAGUGGCUUACGAAGGCUUUGAGGGGUAGCCGGACUGAGAGGGUGACCGGCGACAUUGGGACUGAGAUACUGCUCAGACGGCUACGGGAGGCAGCAGUGGGGAAUAUUGCACAAUGGGCGGAAGCCUGAUGCAGCAACUCCGCGUGCGGGAUGAUGGCAUUCGGGUUGGAAGCCGCCUUCGCCUGGGACGAAGCGUGAGUGAGGGUAAUGGGUAAAGAAGCACCGGCUAACUACGUG